CACAGAUUUGGAACUUGGUGUCUGUCAUUCUCCGCACCUCCCCCCCUCCUUUUCUUGUUUGGAGGCUUUUUAAAAGUUCCCACUGUGUUGACAUGGAUGACUAUGAAAGAUUUCCCCUCUCUGGGACAGAACCAGAACAUCCGAGAAAGAAAAGGAAUAAUCCCAUCUGAGGACAUGAACUUCCACGCCAAGAAGAUGUUGAGAAGAUGUUUCCCAGCAUCAGCAACGAACAGCCCUCCAUUCCCAGUCAGCCAAAUAAUGAAGGAGAAAGAACUGUAAAAUCCAUAUCAGAUUGAAACUCUAAUUUAACUCUGCAAGACUGUUCCAAGUAAGACACUGAAGGAUGGAGGUGCUGCUAAAAUGGCUAGACAUAUACAAGCUCUGAUCUCUCCUAUAUACAUGCGGAGGCAUUUUGUCUCCCCUCUAUAUGUAAUAUGUAGCAUAUAUCACACAGACGCAUGAACAUAUCCAUUGAACAAUUAUUAGAACCGUAGAUGCCUUCUACAUAUACAUACACACAUACAGAUAUACGUAGAGCUCCGUAUUUUCUUCUCCGAUUAAUCUUUUCUUUUACCCAGCUUUCGUUUUGGCCUCUGUUGUUACAUUUUGCUUAAAGCGCCUUUGGGAAU